UACGAAGGGUGCAAGCGUUACUCGGAAUUACUGGGCGUAAAGCGUGCGUAGGUGGUUCGUUAAGUCUGAUGUGAAAGCCCUGGGCUCAACCUGGGAAUUGCAUUGGAUACUGGCGAGCUAGAGUGCGGUAGAGGAUGGCGGAAUUCCCGGUGUAGCAGUGACAUGCGUAGAGAUCGGGAGGAACAUCUGUGGCGAAGGCGGCCAUCUGGGCCAGCACUGACACUGAGGCACGAAAGCGUGGGGAGCAAACAGG
rnacentral:rRNA from 1 species